UGCAAUGCUUCAAACAGAAAAGCCAAUUAUUGUGGACUUAAUAAUGAAGUCAAUAGAGCACAAAAUAUCUUGCAAAAACGUAUGUAAUAAAUUCAUAGCCCAUAGACCAAAUUCAUAAAGUAAUUGUGACAUUUCUCAUUUCUAGUUACUCUCUUGCGUGAAUCCAAAAGUGACAUUUACGUCAAGCUCAAGUAGAGUAAGACUAAAUGGAGUAGCAGUGGCACUGAAAUGGUUUUUUGCCUUGCUAAAAGAUCACGGAGUUCUGUUUCCGAAUGAAGAAAGAGUGAGACAAGAAAUUAAGUCUCUCGACAUUGGGGUGGUCAAUGGGCGAAGCCAGUAUUUCAAUGCAAAUGCAAAUGGUGAAAAGAUCAGCAGAGGCUCAGAUGGAGUAGAAACUUCUUCCAGAAACUGCGUAAUUAUACAACAAUCUGCAUUUGGAAGAUAGAAUUGGAUUGUUUUUUUGGAAGCCUUCAACAUCUUAGAUACAAAUAUCGCAAGAGACAGCUUGGGGUCCACCGCCGAAACCAGCAUAAAUUAUUCAAACACAGCGUCUACAACUGAAAUGGAAAUUGUUAAACGCAGCAGACCGUCAACAUCUGGAACCAGAAGAUACAAAUCAAACACACCGUCCACAUCCGACAAUCAAAUUGGAAGAGCAAACACAUCACGUGACGUAAAUGCAAACACCACGCAAAACUAAAAUACAUCUUGAACGAUAACUUCUAUAGUUUUGUCCCAUGACUGGCUGAAGCCAAAAAUACAUCUAAAUUUUGUCAAGCUCCCCCCU